GACGAACGCUGGCGGCGUGCCUAAUACAUGCAAGUCGAACGAGAGCGACCGGUGCUGCACUGGUCAAUCUAGUGGCGAACGGGUGAGUAACACGUGGGUAACCUGCCCAUCAGAGGGGGAUAACAUCCGGAAACGGAUGCUAAAACCGCAUAGGUCUUCGAACCGCAUGGUUUGAAGAGGAAAAGAGGCGCAAGCUUCUGCUGAUGGAUGGACCCGCGGUGCAUUAGCUAGUUGGUGAGGUAACGGCUCACCAAGGCCGUGAUGCAUAGCCGACCUGAGAGGGUGAUCGGCCACAUUGGGACUGAGACACGGCCCAAACUCCUACGGGAGGCAGCAGUAGGGAAUCUUCCGCAAUGGACGCAAGUCUGACGGAGCAACGCCGCGUGAGUGAAGAAGGUUUUCGGAUCGUAAAACUCUGUUGUUAGAGAAGAACAAGUGCUAGAGUAACUGUUAGCGCCUUGACGGUAUCUAACCAGAAAGCCACGGCUAACUACGUG
rnacentral:rRNA from 1 species